CUAGGCCGGCUCAGCGAGACGCGAAGAGGAGUCGGGAGCGUGUUGAGGGAGCUGCUUUUCUACCUCGCUCGGUAGCCAAAUUAAUUUUAAACAAACCACUAGCGGAAAGCGAAGACUGAAGGGGAAACGAGAAAAUAUUCGUUUCAUUUUGUUUUAACCCCACGUUUUUCUUUACGGUUGAGGGUCGCUGACGGAUCAUUGGAAACUGGGCGGGGUUUUGCUGUUGGAGGGGGAAGUCCUCUGUCCGCUGAGACGAGAUGGAGCUGCCCUGGUGCGUCUCCUUCUCUUUUAACGUGUAUUCAUCGCGUUCCAAGAUUUCUCUACGCCGCCUCUGGAUUUUUUUCCUCUUUGAUCAGUUCACUGGCUGAGGUAGUAGUUUGUGUUGUUGGAAGGGUCUGUGACACUGCCCAGUAUGGAGAUAACUGCGCAAGCUACUGCCUUGCUAGUGCUGGUGAUAACUCGGCGGAAACCAUCUCCGAUGUGAGUUUAUUUAAAAAAACAAGGAAAAUUGUUUCGAAUGAAAAUCGGGAUUGCAACGAUAUUGCAAUUUUUUUUGUUGAGUUCAACCGGACCUAGUUGCUUUUAGCAUAAAAAUAAAGUUUAUGCAUGCUUUAGCAAAUGUGAAAUUAGUGUUUUGUGGUUGUUUGUACAGAAGCCUAGACUUAAUCUUGCAACGUACGUGCAGAAAUCCACUGACCUGUCUUUAAAUUAGUGCAUGAAAGUUUGUUUUGACUAUACUUUCUCUAACCUGCUAAAUUUAAGCAGUGCUGCUUACCUUUGCAAUAAAUGUAGAACACUGCAAAAAAAAACUUGGUACAAUGGCUUUUUGGAAAAAGGAUAAAGUUCAGUCGUCAGAAUUUUUCAUAAUCGUAUUUAAAUCAGUGAUUUGUUUCUACUUAGUCCCAAUGCAAUGACAAAAUCAACUGCAACUGAGAGCCAGGAAGGAAAGACAUCAAAUGUCAAACAUUGCAUACUGUUUUCUUCCAUCAGUCUGAAUAGUGUUCUGUGUACCAAAAUGAUUGUCUGGCUGGUGCAGAUGAGUUGGACCAAAAGGUCUGUUUCUGUACUGUGUGAUUGUACAACUGUCACCAUGGUCUUAUUUUGUGUUUUGUUUCACAAAAAAAACUUGUCAACUGUUACCAUUUUCUCUUUCUAAUUAAAGUGGUUUAAAUACUG